rnacentral:rRNA from 1 species
GUUGAACGCUGGCGGCAGGCCUAACACAUGCAAGUCGAGCGGAUGAAUUGUACUUUCUCCUGCUUUCAGCUGCAGACUGGUGUGUAAUGCGGAGAAAUAUGCGUAGUUAUGCUGCCUAGCGGCCGGGAAUGGGCGCUGUUACCGCAUACUACCACAGGGAGAAAGUGGGUGAUCUUCGGACCUCACUCUAUCAGUUGAGUCUAGGUAGAAUUAGCUAGUUCGUGGGGUAAAGGCCUACCAGGUCAACUAUCCGUAACUGGCCUGAGAGGAUGAUCAGUCACACUGGAACUGAGACACGGUCCAGCCUCAUACGGGAGGCAGAAGUGGGGAAUAUUGGACAAUGGGCGAAAGCCUGAUCCAGAAAGGCCGCGUGGGUGAAGAAGGUCUUCGGUUUUUAAAGCCCUUUAAGUGGGAAGGAAGGGCAGUAGGUUAAUACCUUGAUGUUUUGACGGUACCAAAAGAAUAAGCACCGGCUAACUACGUG